rnacentral:rRNA from 1 species
GACGAACGCUGGCGGCGUGCCUAAUACAUGCAAGUCGAACGCAGUGGGGACGGGUGAGUAACACGUGGGUAACCUCCCAUCAGAGGGGAUAACCCUUGGCAACAAGUGCUUAACUGAUACUGAUUGAUGGACUCGCUGUGCAUUAGCUAGUUGGUGAGGUAACGGCUCAACAAGGCCACGAUGCAUAGCCGACCUGAGAGGUUGAUCGGCCACACGUGGACUGAGACACGGCCCAGACUCCUACGGGAGGCAGCAGUAGGGAAGCUUCGGCAAGGGACGAAAGCCUGACCGAGCAACGCCGCGUGAGUGAAGAAGGUUUUCGGAUCGUAAAACUCUGUUGUUGGAGAAGCGGUAUCUAACCAGAAAGCCACGGCUAACUACGUGCCAGCAGCCGCGGUAAUAC